rnacentral:rRNA from 1 species
UACGUAGGGGGCAAGCGUUGUCCGGAUUUAUUGGGCGUAAAGCGCUCGCAGGCGGUCCCGUGCGUCGUGCGUGAAAGGCCCCGGCUCAACCGGGGGCGGUCGUGCGAUACGGCGGGACUGGAGGCCAGUAGGGGGACGCGGAAUUCCGGGUGUAGUGGUGGAAUGCGUAGAGAUCCGGAGGAACACCAGCGGCGAAGGCGGCGUCCUGGACUGGACCUGACGCUCAGGAGCGAAAGCGUGGGGAGCGAACAGG